ACGAACGCUGGCGGCGUGCUUAACACAUGCAAGUCGAACGGUGAAGCGCCUUCCUUUUUGGUGGGUGUGGAUGAGUGGCGCACGGGUGAGUAACACGUGAGUAACCUGCCCCCUUCUUCUGGAUAACCGCAUGAAAGUGUGGCUAAUACGGGAUAUUCUGGGUCUGUCGCAUGAUGGGUCUGGGAAAGAUAUUGUUUCGGUGGGGGAUGGGCUCGCGGCCUAUCAGCUUGUUGGUGGGGUGAUGGCCUACCAAGGCGGUGACGGGUAGCCGGCCUGAGAGGGUGGACGGUCACACUGGGACUGAGACACGGCCCAGAAUCCUACGGGAGGCAGCAGUGGGGAAUAUUGCACAAUGGGCGCAAGCCUGAUGCAGCGACGCCGCGGGAGGGAUGGAGGCCUUCGGGUUGUGAACCUCUUUCGCCAGUGAAGCAGGCCUGCCUCGUUUGUGGGUGGGUUGACGGUAGCUGGAUAAGAAGCGCCGGCUAACUACGUG
rnacentral:rRNA from 1 species